rnacentral:tRNA from 1 species
UCCCCUGUGGUGUAAUUGGCAACACCCGGCACUUUGACUGCCGUAUUCCAGGUUCGAGCCCUGGCGGGGGAGCCA